rnacentral:rRNA from 1 species
AUUGAACGCUGGCGGCAGGCUUAACACAUGCAAGUCGAGCGGGGUGAUGGUGCUUGCACUAUCACUUAGCGGCGGACGGGUGAGUAAUGCUUAGGAAUCUGCCUAUUAGUGGGGGACAACAUCUCGAAAGGGAUGCUAAUACCGCAUACGUCCUACGGGAGAAAGCAGGGGCUCACUUGUGACCUUGCGCUAAUAGAUGAGCCUAAGUCGGAUUAGCUAGUUGGUGGGGUAAAGGCCUACCAAGGCGUCGAUCUGUAGCGGGUCUGAGAGGAUGAUCCGCCACACUGGGACUGAGACACGGCCCAGACUCCUACGGGAGGCAGCAGUGGGGAAUAUUGGACAAUGGGGGGAACCCUGAUCCAGCCAUGCCGCGUGUGUGAAGAAGGCCUUAUGGUUGUAAAGCACUUUAAGCGAGGAGGAGGCUCUUUUGGUUAAUACCCAAGAUGAGUGGACGUUACUCGCAGAAUAAGCACCGGCUAACUCUGUGCCAGCAGCCGCCGUAA